CACAAGAUGCUACUUAAAAGGCAACAAGGGGACUGCCCAUGAGGAGAAAAAUUCAUCUUGGUUAUUUAUGGAAUGAAUUCACUUCUGAGAUAUUCAGAUGAUCCAAGGCAUUAUUCAUUGUCUGCAUCAUUCCAGUUUAGAACCUCACAAUGAACACGAGUAUCAUCUUACAUAAGUGUUGAAUGUUGGAAAUAAACCAUGUUUUCCAGCUUGAGAACAGUUGAUGGGCAUCUGUGGGAGGAAGAACCUUCCUUUUAGACUCAUCUUGAAGGAACACAGAGAAGUCAAUCCCAGUGGACCCAUCAGAUAUAUUUUCUCUCUUCAUUGUCAUGUGACCAACUCAUCUUUUUGUUCAAAUGUUUCCCUGAUGCUUCUUAUAUGACAGCUCUUCUUCAAAGUAACCUGUGCACAUUCAUCAGACACCUCUCCAUUGUUCCUCUGGGUUCUAUUUAUUUUCAUUCUUUCAGACUGUUGUGUUCUAUUACUCACAGAUAUACAACAGCAUUGGAAGAAUACUAGAAUUAAAAAUACCAGUAAUAAAAUUUAAACAAAAAAUCUGGGGUAUGUUUGAGGGUGGUUGCAGGAGCUUUCCUUGAAGAAACAUCAUGUUAUCUAAGUAUGAGGAUUCCAGGAAGUCUGAAAGUCUUUGGAUUCUCACAUUCUUUCUUCUUCACCCAUAUUUUCCAAUCUCUCUCAUAAUCCUCAUUUAUAUCCAUCUUUGCCCGAGUAUCAAAGGAUGGGUUCAUUUGGAUUAGAAAAUCUCUAUGCUUUCAUCAGCUGCAGUAGAUAUGACCAUAUAAGUUGCAAUUAUUUUUGGGAUGAUUUUUUUUUUGCAGAUACUUAUCAUAAGUACUGCAAAACAACACCAUGACAAAAAUGUCUCAUGUAUGAUGUUUCUUGUCCAACCUAUGGAUGCACAAUGAAAUCAUCUGUCUCUCUCUAAGGAAAAA